rnacentral:rRNA from 1 species
GAUGAACGCUGGCGGCGUGCCUAAUACAUGCAAGUCGAGCGAACGGACGAGAAGCUUGCUUCUCUGAUGUUAGCGGCGGACGGGUGAGUAACACGUGGAUAACCUACCUAUAAGACUGGGAUAACUUCGGGAAACCGUAGCUAAUACCGGAUAAUAUUUUGAACCGCAUGGUUCAAAAGUGAAAGACGGUCUUGCUGUCACUUAUAGAUGGAUCCGCGCUGCAUUAGCUAGUUGGUAAGGUAACGGCUUACCAAGGCGACGAUGCAUAGCCGACCUGAGAGGAGGAUCGGCGACACUGGAACUGAGACACGGACCAGACGACUACGGGAGGCAGCAGUAGGGAAUCUUCCGAAAUGGGCGAGAGCCUGACGGAGCAACGCCGCGUGAGUGAUGAAGGUCUUCGGAUCGUAAAACUCUGUUAUUAGGGAAGAACAUAUGUGUAAGUAACUGUACACAUCUUGACGGUACCUAAUCAGAAAGCCACGGCUAACUACGUG